rnacentral:rRNA from 2 species
GUUAUAUGGUCAAGUGAAGAAGCGCAUACGGUGGAUGCCUUGGCAGUCAGAGGCGAUGAAAGACGUGGUAGCCUGCGAAAAGCUUCGGGGAGUCGGCAAACAGACUGUGAUCCGGAGAUGUCUGAAUGGGGGAACCCAGCCAUCAUAAGAUGGUUAUCUUACACUGAAUACAUAGGUGUAAGAGGCGAACCAGGGGAACUGAAACAUCUAAGUACCCUGAGGAAAAGAAAUCAACCGAGAUUCCCUUAGUAGUGGCGAGCGAACGGGGACCAGCCCUUAAGUUGUAUUGAGAUUAGCGGAACGCUCUGGAAAGUGCGGCCAUAGUGGGUGAUAGCCCUGUACGCGAAAAUCCCUUUGCAAUGAAAUCGAGUAGGACGGGGCACGAGAAACCUUGUCUGAAUAUGGGGGGACCAUCCUCCAAGGCUAAAUACUACUGACUGACCGAUAGUGAACCAGUACCGUGAGGGAAAGGCGAAAAGAACCGCGGAGAGCGGAGUGAAAUAGAUCCUGAAACCGUAUGCGUACAAGCAGUGGGAGCCCACUUUGUUGGGUGACUGCGUACCUUUUGUAUAAUGGGUCAGCGACUUAUUUUCAGUGGCGAGCUUAACCGAAUAGGGGAGGCGUAGCGAAAGCGAGUCUUAAUAGGGCGUCUAGUCGCUGGGAAUAGACCCGAAACCGGGCGAUCUAUCCAUGGGCAGGUUGAAGGUUGGGUAACACUAACUGGAGGACCGAACCGACUACCGUUGAAAAGUUAGCGGAUGACCUGUGGAUCGGAGUGAAAGGCUAAUCAAGCUCGGAGAUAGCUGGUUCUCCUCGAAAGCUAUUUAGGUAGCGCCUCAUGUAUCACUGUAGGGGGUAGAGCACUGUUUCGGCUAGGGGGUCAUCCCGACUUACCAAACCGAUGCAAACUCCGAAUACCUACAAGUGCCGAGCAUGGGAGACACACGGCGGGUGCUAACGUCCGUCGUGAAAAGGGAAACAACCCAGACCGUCAGCUAAGGUCCCAAAGUCAUGGUUAAGUGGGAAACGAUGUGGGAAGGCUUAGACAGCUAGGAGGUUGGCUUAGAAGCAGCCACCCUUUAAAGAAAGCGUAAUAGCUCACUAGUCGAGUCGGCCUGCGCGGAAGAUGUAACGGGGCUCAAACCAUGCACCGAAGCUACGGGUAUCACCUUUGGUGAUGCGGUAGAGGAGCGUUCUGUAAGCCUGUGAAGGUGAGUUGAGAAGCUUGCUGGAGGUAUCAGAAGUGCGAAUGCUGACAUGAGUAACGACAAUGGGUGUGAAAAACACCCACGCCGAAAGACCAAGGUUUCCUGCGCAACGUUAAUCGACGCAGGGUUAGUCGGUCCCUAAGGCGAGGCUGAAAAGCGUAGUCGAUGGAAAACAGGUUAAUAUUCCUGUACUUCUGGUUAUUGCGAUGGAGGGACGGAGAAGGCUAGGCCAGCCUGGCGUUGGUAGUCCAGGUUUAAGGUGGUAGGCUGAGAUCUUAGGUAAAUCCGGGAUCUUAAGGCCGAGAGCUGAUGACGAGUGUUCUUUUAGAACAUGAAGUGGUUGAUGCCAUGCUUCCAAGAAAAGCUUCUAAGCUUCAGGUAACCAGGAACCGUACCCCAAACCGACACAGGUGGUUGGGUAGAGAAUACCAAGGCGCUUGAGAGAACUCGGGUGAAGGAACUAGGCAAAAUGGCACCGUAACUUCGGGAGAAGGUGCGCCGGUGAGGGUGAAGCAUUUACUGCGUAAGCCCACGCCGGUCGAAGAUACCAGGCCGCUGCGACUGUUUAUUAAAAACACAGCACUCUGCAAACACGAAAGUGGACGUAUAGGGUGUGACGCCUGCCCGGUGCCGGAAGGUUAAUUGAUGGGGUUAGCGCAAGCGAAGCUCUUGAUCGAAGCCCCGGUAAACGGCGGCCGUAACUAUAACGGUCCUAAGGUAGCGAAAUUCCUUGUCGGGUAAGUUCCGACCUGCACGAAUGGCGUAACGAUGGCGGCGCUGUCUCCACCCGAGACUCAGUGAAAUUGAAAUCGCUGUGAAGAUGCAGUGUAUCCGCGGCUAGACGGAAAGACCCCGUGAACCUUUACUAUAGCUUUGCACUGGACUUUGAAUUUGCUUGUGUAGGAUAGGUGGGAGGCUUUGAAGCGUGGACGCCAGUCUGCGUGGAGCCAACCUUGAAAUACCACCCUGGCAACUUUGAGGUUCUAACUCAGGUCCGUUAUCCGGAUCGAGGACAGUGUAUGGUGGGUAGUUUGACUGGGGCGGUCUCCUCCUAAAGAGUAACGGAGGAGUACGAAGGUGCGCUCAGACCGGUCGGAAAUCGGUCGUAGAGUAUAAAGGCAAAAGCGCGCUUGACUGCGAGACAGACACGUCGAGCAGGUACGAAAGUAGGUCUUAGUGAUCCGGUGGUUCUGUAUGGAAGGGCCAUCGCUCAACGGAUAAAAGGUACUCCGGGGAUAACAGGCUGAUACCGCCCAAGAGUUCAUAUCGACGGCGGUGUUUGGCACCUCGAUGUCGGCUCAUCACAUCCUGGGGCUGAAGCCGGUCCCAAGGGUAUGGCUGUUCGCCAUUUAAAGUGGUACGCGAGCUGGGUUUAGAACGUCGUGAGACAGUUCGGUCCCUAUCUGCCGUGGACGUUUGAGAUUUGAGAGGGGCUGCUCCUAGUACGAGAGGACCGGAGUGGACGAACCUCUGGUGUUCCGGUUGUCACGCCAGUGGCAUUGCCGGGUAGCUAUGUUCGGAAAAGAUAACCGCUGAAAGCAUCUAAGCGGGAAACUUGCCUCAAGAUGAGAUCUCACUGGAACCUUGAGUUCCCUGAAGGGCCGUCGAAGACUACGACGUUGAUAGGUUGGGUGUGUAAGCGCUGUGAGGCGUUGAGCUAACCAAUACUAAUUGCCCGUGAGGCUUGACCAUAUAACACCCAAGCAAUU